AAGACCUUGCGCUUUUGGAGCGGCCGAUGCCUGAUUAGCUAGUUGGUGGGGUAAAAGCUUACCAAGGCAACGAUCAGUAGUUGGUCUGAGAGGACGGCCAGCCACACUGGGACUGAGACACGGCCCAGACUCCUACGGGAGGCAGCAGUGGGGAAUUUUGGACAAUGGGCGCAAGCCUGAUCCAGCAAUGCCGCGUGAGUGAAGAAGGCCUUCGGGUUGUAAAGCUCUUUCAGUCGAGAAGAAAAGAUUGUGACGAAUAAUCACAAUUCAUGACGGUAUCGACAGAAGAAGCMCCGGCUAAYUACGUGCCAGCAGCCGCGGUAAUACGUAGGGUGCAAGCGUUAAUCGGAAUUACUGGGCGUAAAGGGUGCGCAGGCGGCUUUGUAAGUCAGAUGUGAAAUCCCCGGGCUUAACCUGGGAAUU
rnacentral:rRNA from 1 species